rnacentral:rRNA from 1 species
CUACGGGCGGCUCCAGUAGGGAAUAUUGGACAAUGGGCGAAAGCCUGAUCCAGCAACACCGCGUGCACGAUGACGGCCUUCGGGUUGUAAAGUGCUUUUAGAGGAGAUGAGAAAGGACAGUAUCCUCUGAAUAAGCCUCGGCGAACUACGUGCCAGCAGCCGUGGUAAAACGUAGGAGGCAAGCGUUAUCCGGAUUUAUUGGGCGUAAAGCGCGUGCAGGCGGUCUAGCAAGUUGGAUGUGAAAGCUCCCGGCUCAACUGGGAGAGGUCGUUCAAUACUGUUAGACUAGAGAAUAGGAGAGGGAGGUGGAAUUCCGGGUGUAGUGGUGAAAUGCGUAGAUAUCCGGAGGAACACCAGUGGCGAAAGCGGCCUCCUGGACUAUUUCUGACGCUAAGACGCGAAAGCUAGGGUAGCAAACGGGAUUAGAUACCCGCGUAGUC